GGGGCUGACAGGUUUCGAUUACGUGCUUGAAGAUAUGAGAAGCGUGCCAGUAUGCGCAUCCACUGUGAUGGGCGCAAACCAAUAAACGCAGUCGAUACUGACGUUGACUUUGCGAUGUGGGAAGCUGAACUGGCUUCCGACCUCGUUGCUGCCUGAAAGUAGCAAGUCCGUUCUCCCACAAGCCAACUGAGGGCGUGUGGAUGUAGGGCGUGGUAAAACUCAGAACCACAGGGGAUUAACAGCCUUUAUCUGCGACCUGUUCAAAACGCACAGAGGGCAACCCGGUCGGCGGGUAACCCGUUCUAGUCCGUGGCUGAUUGUGAUGCUAAGCGAGGGAUGAAGAUUCAGCUCACUACGCACGUAGAAGGCGUAUUUGAUAGACGUAAGACCCGGGUUCGAUUCCCGGCAGCUCCAC
rnacentral:tmRNA from 1 species